ensembl:lncRNA
GUUUUCAUGGCGACAGUCUCUGAGACGACAGACUUGGACAUGUGUUGCUGUCACUAUGGUGACAAUGCUCUCUCCCAAAGGCAUGAAACUAGUACAUAAUAAUGCUGCAUGAGUCUGGAUUUCAGACUGAAUAUUGCUUUCCAGGAGUACAGAAAGGCCAGGAAUGAGACUUUAUUUUUUGCAUGUGGAAAAAAAUAAUUAAUAAUUUCCUGUGUCUUUUUCCUUUAAAAUGUUAAACUUUCUGACUCAUUCUGAAUGAUCUAAAUAAAUAUUUAGACAUCCAAGCAGGUCACCAGAUUUUUUACACAAAUCCUAAAAGUGUAAAACACAGAACUCAGUGAUUCAAGCAGAACAUAACUGUUAUUUAUAGAGUGAAAAAAAUACACCAGCAAGUCUAUGAACACAUUGAGGAUUAGAAGUUAAUUUAAAAAAAAAGUCAUCUGUCUUCAGUCCUUUUUAUUUAAAAAAAAAAAAAAAAUCCAUUGCCAUGUCUGAGGGACUGUAUCUUACCAUGCACAAAUGAGAUUUCUAAGGUCCUUUAGAAAAAAGGCUUAUUGAAGCCCACCAGGCUGGAAAAGGUUACAGAACUAUUGCUACACUUUCUACUCCAACAAUAGAAAGUCAGACAGAUAGCGUAAAUUGAGAAAAAUUGAAGAUCAUUGUUACACUGCCCAGGAGUGCUUGAUCAAAAAAAAAAAAGAUCUCUCCAGUAGCAAGAGGGGUCAUAGCCUGGCAGGUAACAAAGAAGCCAAAAAAGGUCGUUUCUAAAGUGUUCACAAAAUUUCAAGCAAAAGUCAAAAUUGAGUGAUUCUGCUUCCUUCCGAUUCUCAGUAUCUACCAGUCAAAUUAAUAGGUUAGUGUUCAUGCUGGACACUAAAGCACAUAAAGCUGUUAGAAUACAAAUAAACUCAUGGGAAUUAUAAUGAGUUUUAUGAGUUUAACAUCCAAAUAAAGUAGAAACAAAAGCAUGUAUUUUAUUUGUUUAAACAACUUGUGUAUCCUGUUUUGCGUCCUAUAUCGUAAUGUAUCACUGGAUGGAAGACCUGGUUCAGCCACCUCUAAUAAACAGUUCCUUGCUGUUGUUAUGUUAUUCUCCUCUUACAUAUCUGAGAUUUCC